ACCUCUCCUUUGUCUUUUGUCAACGUACACAGCAGCUCUCCUAGCUAAGAGCAGAAGCAUUCAGAGGAACCAUGAAAAUCUAUGUAUCAGAAAUGCUGGAACUGAAAUUUAGGUGACACAUUAAGCAAAACUAGCCAACUGCAACUGAAGCCAUUCAAUUAUCAACUAGAGAUCUGAGUAGAAAGCAGUCACCUUGAGCCUUCAACAUGGAUGGUGCAGCAACCCCAAAAAAGUGUGGUUCCCUACGAUGAAGAAGCCAGUGAGUGGCUUUUACAGAGAGAUUCUUCCACAAACUGCCCUUCUGCCCAUCUGAAAAGCAGAUGCUUUACAUAGUCCAGAGUGCAAACUGUCAUAACCUUGUUGGUGGAAAGAAUGGAUUCUAUCCCGCAAUUGAGAUGGAGCUUUCAUGUUUAUGACUGGGGCAUGAACGAAGAUGAAUCAACUGAUGCUGAAUUCAGGAAAAACAGAAAUCCUUGUUAGGUGGUUCCUGGAUUUGGGUGAUGUACAUGUCCUAGAUAGAGUUACACACCCCUAUAAAAGCAGGUAGUGGUGCUCUUGGAUUUGUU
rnacentral:lncRNA from 1 species